AUAUCAAUUGAAUAUAAAAUUAAUAUUAAUAACAAAAUUUAGAUAUUAAUUGAGUGAUUUAUAAUUACGCCAACCGUCCGCCUCUCUCGCGCGCGCGCGCAAUAAUAAAACUGCAAGUGCGAGCGAAGUCAUGCAGAGUUCCUGAAAAACGCACAAAUUACUGGUAACUUCUUCUUCAUCUCCCUCUCCUCUCUCCGACUAUAACACUGUUUUCAAUAUUAUUAUGUUGCUCUUUUUACUUUACUUUGAUGUGAUGCAAUUUAUCCAAGUUUCGUUCUUCUGCUGGCAAGAUUAAGGAGAGAAUGACACUGAUUAGUAGCAGUAACUUACGGGCUCUGUCUCUGUUUCCAUUCCAUGUUAGGUUCUUUUUCCCGAUAUUAGAUGUGCUGGAGCUCGACUUCGUUCGUCCGUCAUGUUCCUCCGCUGGCUCCAAUCAGCAAUUUUGGAUUAGGGAUGAAAUGCACAAGUUCUAUGCACGGAUCUGCGCAGUAAGUAACUGCACUUGUUUGUUUCCUUUCUAAUUGAUUGUUUGGAGAAACACUUGCCUAAACCAAGAAGGAUUAUGCCACAUCUGCAUGAUAUGAAUACCAUCACUAACAUAUCACAUCCUCGAACACCUGGUGUACUUGAGAAUUUUCACUGUAAAUGGUGCGGUUAUUGUCCCUUGAUAAUUAGCAAGGUGAUGUGAGUUUCAGUUUUUAGAACUUUUUAUUUUUAUUUUUAUUCUGUGACAAGUUGAGGGCAAAAAUUGAUAUCAAAUGGGAUGUACUAGAAGCUGUUCUACUAAUUAUAUAGGGUGGGGCUGUGUUUAGGUACUUGGAGUGUAGGGGUUUGAAGAUUACAUACUGUUAUUGAAUUAAAGGUCCAUAUGCAUGCAAAAUUCAACCUAACUUCAUAAUGCAUUCUAAAGGAACAGGUACGUUAUUUGGCCUAAGUAAGACGAAAGUUUAAAAGAGACCCGGAAAGAAUCUGAUAAACAAGACGGGUACAUGUGUUACCUAUCAUAAGUUUGUGUUCACGGUAAAGCUGAUCCUUGAAAGGUGCUUGAAUGCUAAUAGACAUUCACACUGGUGAACCCAUAGGUAUCAGUUUGGGUUGCUCUUGGCAUGCAAUUCUCAUACUUAGCCUUGGGAGCAUAAUCUCUGUUGCUUCUGUACGUGAAAUACUUAAAGGAUACAUGUUCUCAAAUUGUUAAUAUUAAUUCGGUCUAAAAUUCUGGCAGACUGGUGAUCUUGGGCUUCGCUUACUCUGCCACAUUAUCCAUUUCUUUGUGAGCAUUUGGUACUUUUUUGUGGGACUGAUGAACACACUUGAGAGCUUUCUUAUCUCCAGUGGUUUGUUUAAGCGGUAUAGAGAUCUUGAUAUUAGUAAAGUUAAGUACCUGGCAGUCGUUAUAGACAGUGAAGAAGCUCUUCAGAAUCUUAAUGUCCUUCAGCUCUUGCGAUGGCUUGCAGCCAUUGGAUUGAGAAAUGUAUGCCUAUAUGAUAAAGAAGGAGUGCUGAAGAUAUCCCAAGAAGCCCUCAAAUUAUGGCUGAAGAGUGAAAGAACAUCAAAUGUAAACUGUCAGUUCUAUGUUUCAGCAGUUGUCUAUUGAAUCAUCAACUAUGAUAUCCAUAUGCUGAAAUCUGACUUUUGACUGACUGAACAUGAAACAUUCAGGUCUUUCUCUUUAAUUGAACUUUACAACAGGUUUACUAACAUUUAGAAUUUGUUAUUUUCUGUGUAUCCAUGACGAACUUUUCCUGUCAGUUUGUGAUAUACUUGUUGAAUCUCGCAUGAUGCAAUGGUGCCUAUUUUAACUACAUAUACUGGGACAGGUGAAUAAAAUUGUUAGACGACAUCGAUAUACAUUUCCAUGUCCAGAACUGCUAUUAUAAAUGGGCCUCUAAUCCAAACAUGAGCCAUCUUUGCACAGGAAACUACUGGCGACCCACUUUUUGAGUAGAAGAAUAUGAGUUUGGAAGUGAUUUCCUUUUCAGAUGGGAAACAUGCAGUUGAAAAGCAGCAAAUGUGCUUUUAAAGAAGCACUAUUUGAAUGGCAAUACAUAGAAGCCAAACCUGACAGAGUCAGACAUGGCAGACGCUCUUGGCGAAGUAGGGCAUGGGGGAGCAGAACCUGAUCUCAUGUUAAUUUUAUGGGCCGGCAAGAUGCCACCUGGGCUUUCCAUCUUGGAGAAUUCGUCACACUGAGAUGGUGCAAGUGUUUUUAUUAAACACUAUUAUUCACUCAAAUUGGCAACUGUUUUGUCAACAUUAUGAGGGGUAAUCUAUGAUAGCAAGUGAACAUUCUGAGAUCAGGAACAACUUUUUAGACUUUGAGUUCCUUCAUCUACAGCUGAACAGAUUUGUGUAAAAGCCAUCGUAAACUAACAAACAAUUAGAAUAACAACACAUCAACCAAAAACAAAUGAGUAUUGUGCCUAUAUGUAGCUUACAUAUGUACGACUGCAGCCAAAGCAAAUCCCUAUCAUGGGUUGCGUUUAUCUGUAUCUGUUGGCGGCUUAACCUCGACUAAUUAAUUUGUAAAUAUCUCAAUCUUUUCUUUUCUAGAGCAUGUCGUAAGUAUAUUGGAGUACUGGAGUUUCAACUAUACGCUGAUUGCAGGCACAUGGGACCACUGAAGUCUAUGAAAUUUGGUGCCCUCAUGAAAGCCAUUCAGAGGUACACUGUGGUGCAUCAGAACUAUGGUACAUGAAACCGUAUGCUUCAAGCCUUCAAGUGGCGAAUUCUUGUACAAGAAUAACAUAUUUAUUGCUGAUAGCAAAACCUCUAAUUGAUACAUGGUUAUGGAUUAUUAGGUUCUCUACCUUUUUGCCAUCAGCUCUAUACAACUGCUAUUCAACAAUAUUAUGUUGGGUAAAUUACAACCACCUUUCCCCAGAUACGGCAUAAUUAUGAGUUACCUUUCGUUGUUUGAAA